AUUGAACGCUGGCGGGAUGCUUUACACAUGCAAGUCGAACGGCAGCGCGGACUUCGGCCUGGCGGCGAGUGGCGAACGGGUGAGUAAUGUAUCGGAACGUGCCCAGUAGCGGGGGAUAACUACGCGAAAGCGUAGCUAAUACCGCAUACGACCUGCGGGGGAAAGCGGGGGAUCGUAAGACCUCGCACUAUUGGAGCGGCCGAUGGCGGAUUAGCUAGUUGGUGGGGUAAAGGCUUACCAAGGCGACGAUCCGUAGCUGGUCUGAGAGGACGACCAGCCACACUGGGACUGAGACACGGCCCAGACUCCUACGGGAGGCAGCAGUGGGGAAUUUUGGACAAUGGGGGCAAGCCUGAUCCAGCCAUGCCGCGUGUGCGAUGAAGGCCUUCGGGUUGUAAAGCACUUUUGGCAGGAAAGAAACGGAGUGGGCUAAUACCCCGGGGCGCUGACGGUACCUGCAGAAUAAGCACCGGCUAACUACGUG
rnacentral:rRNA from 1 species